UUAACUUUUGAUUUAGGAUUUUUAUCUUUUCUUUCUCUUUUAUUUAUUUUACAUCUUUCUUUGAAUGAUUUGUUGUAAUUGUUCUAUGUCUAUGUGGAGUUAAACUUCUUUUUUCUUAGAUUAUAUUUACUUACAAUAUGAUAGUUUAGUGAUUUUGAUUUGGCAUGAUUUGUUUUUCAUAUAGUUGUUAUAUUCUUGUGAUUACUAUUUUGAUGCUUGAUCACCACUGAAAUAAACAUAUUGUCAAAAUUGAACUCUGGAGAGGAACAAGAGGAUAGAACGUGGAAUAUAACGAGCAGUAGUUUCUCUCAAUAAUUAGGGUUAAUUUGUAUUUAGGAUAGGGAUAUACCUAUAAAUCAUGUUUGGUCACUAUACAAGAAGAAAUUGUAAUGCUCGGUAUUUAAUCCAUCAUAUCCCCCCUCAACGAUGUAGUUAGGGUGUUAUUUGGAGAUUAGAGGUAGGGAGACCAUGAUCAUACAUUUAAACCCCUGAUAUAUAACUAUAUAAUCAAACAAGUUGAUGAAAUUAAUGCUAAACCUGAUUGUUAGUUAAAUAAUAAUCCUAGAUCGAUUCAUUCAUUGAUUGUGUAAACAUCUAUCUUUUCUUAGUUAAUUGAUUUUUAGUUAUUGAAUCUUUAUUUUUAGUUUAGUUAAUAUAGUCAUAUUUAGAAAUCCUCCCCUUAAAUAAAUAAUUAAAUUAAUAAAAUUUGGUAAAAAUAAUUAAUUGACAAGUCCUUUAGGUUCGAUAAUUCGAUUCUUUUAAGAGCUACUAUAUUACUUGUGUGACCACAUACACUUGCGUGUGCAAUUGGAAGCAACACACCCAAAUGACAUAAUACCCAGGCAUAGACAUUUUUCGCAAUUGUAAUUCGUACCAUGAAGCUACACGGAUCUUUCAACUUUUUUGGGUAGUCUAUUAUGAAUUCUUGAACAACACUCUUUAUUAAGUGUCAUCAUUUCAUACUUAGUCAACCUUCUUUUGUUCGCCACUGUAUCCUUCACAUACUUGGCGUAUUUAGGAAUUCCCUGUAAAAUAUCAACCAAAGGUAGAUUGAUGUGAACUUGUUUGAAGAGAGAGAAGCUUACCGAAGCACUCAUCUUUGUUGCGCUCCUUCAACAUUUUUGGAAAAUGAGGAGGUGAUUUUACUUUCAGGUUGGAAGCAUUUUGAAGGUUGAAGUCUAGAAGGUGAAGUUUGGGAAAGUUCCUCUCAAGACAAAGUAUAUCCUCACAGAUUCGAGGGCAUAGUCUGUUUCUUAAUUUCUUAGUUAACGAAUUAUUAUGUAUUUCUUUCAAUGUAAAGGGUCGUGUCCCUAAGCUAUUUAUGUAGUGUCUUUAAGUUUGGUUUGUGACGAUGAGAUUUUUCUAAGUAUUUAUAAAAGAUUCCUUUUUAUAUCAAA